GGUAAUGGAGAAGAAGAGGGCGGCAUUUUUCACCCCACUGGAACUGGACAUCCUUAUUCGCUCAUAUGGCGAGUUUGAGCAUGUUUUUUUUUUAAAAUGCAACACCGCUGCAGGUGCCAAACAGAGGGAGACGGCAUGGGAGAACAUUGCGGCUCGGGUCAAUGCGUACGUUUAAAUGUAGUCCUUUGCAAUCACAGGGGGAAACUGCUUGAAUGGUAGCCUAUUAAUUUAUUUCAUUUAGGUGCAAUCACGCGGGGGAGAAGCGCACCUGGCAGCAGCUUAGGAUGAAAUAUAAAAACAUUGUUCAAACAGACUUCUACUCAGCCAACAAAAAGAAAGCAGAUGCCCGUAAAACGGGUGGCGGCCGAGCACCGCCACCUCUAACGGAGGCAGAGGCGCUGGCCCUGAGACAGAAUUUUGGAAGGCCAGCGACUGAGGGAAUCCCUGGAGGGAGCUCAUCCUCUGAGCCCACCCACCAAGACACAAGUGCCUUUAUAACACGUAAUAUCCCUAGACCUAUAUAUCUUUUUUUAAGCCUAUUCAUACAAAUAUUUAUUUCCCUUUUCAUUUUUUUUUUUUUUUUCUCCCAACAUAUUCUGAUGGUGCGAUCUGCCUGGUGGAGCCCCCUCACGCCACAACAGACCUAGUAACUGAUGAAGAGUGCGAGGAGACUUUGUGUGCUGCCUUCACAGAGGGGGAACCAGAAAGGCCUGUAGAGGGCAUGGCUGGGCAGCAGCAGGAGGGUCCCUCAACUUCAACUGCACAGAUUGACACAGUGAGAUGGAUGUUCAGUAAACACCAGAGGUUCAUUCUGUGGAAUUCAUGUGCAACUGUAUAAUUUAAUGUCCUCCUUAUGUAUUCCCAGUUAAAGAUAUCUACAAAAUAUUUCUUCUGAAAAAAAUUGAAAAAAACAACAAAGAAAUGCAGUUCUUGGACCGCCAGAUGAGAAGGGCAGAUCUCGAAAUUGAAUUACUAGAGCACAAGUUAGAGGAAAUAAAGAAGACCAAAU